rnacentral:rRNA from 1 species
ACUCAAAUGAAUUGACGGGGACCCGCACAACUGGUGGAGCGUGUGGUUUAAUUCGAGACGAAGCGAAGCACCUUACCAGGGCUUGACAUGCUAUCGUUUUAUACCUUUGGAAACAUUGGUAGAUCCGUAAGGAUGAUAGCACAGGUGAUGCAUGGCUGUCGUCAGUUCGUGCCGUGAGGUGUUCCCUUAAGUGGGGAAACGAACGCAACCCGCACCUAAUGUUACAUAUUCAUUAGGAACAGCCCCAUCUCAAAGAGCGGAACAAAGUUCUACUUUUUGAGAUGGGGAGGAAGGAGCGGAAGACGUCAAGUCAGCACGUCCCUUAUGCCCUGGGUUACACACACCCUACAAUGGCGAAUAACAAUGGGCUGCAAGCCGGUAACGGCAAGCGAAUCCCACAAAUUUCGCCUCAGUUCAGAUUGAGGUCUGCAACCCGACCUCAUGAAGGCGGAAUCAGUAGUAAUCGCGGAUCAGCAGGCCGCGGUGAAUACGUUCUCGGGUCUUGUACACACCGCCCGU